rnacentral:rRNA from 1 species
UACGGGCCGGCUNGAGUGCGGUAGGGGAGACUGGAACUCCUGGUGUAGCGGUGGAAUGCGCAGAUAUCAGGAAGAACACCGGUGGCGAAGGCGGGUCUCUGGGCCGUUACUGACGCUGAGGAGCGAAAGCGUGGGGAGCGAACAGGAUUAGAUACCCUGGUAGUCCACGCCGUAAACGUUGGGCACUAGGUGUGGGGGGCCUUUUCCGGNUCUUCCGCGCCGUAGCUAACGCAUUAAGUGCCCCGCCUGGGGAGUACGGCCGCAAGGCUAAAACUCAAAGGAAUUGACGGGGGCCCGCACAAGCGGCGGAGCAUGCGGAUUAAUUCGAUGCAACGCGAAGAACCUUACCAAGGCUUGACAUGUGCCGGUCUGCUCCGGAGACGGGGUUUCCUCCCUUGUGGGGGCUGGUUCACAGGUGGUGCAUGGUUGUCGUCAGCUCGUGUCGUGAGAUGUUGGGUUAAGUCCCGCAACGAGCGCAACCCUUGUCUCGUGUUGCCAGCACGUUGUGGUGGGGACUCGCGGGAGACUGCCGGGGUCAACUCGGAGGAAGGUGGGGAUGACGUCAAAUCAUCAUGCCCCUUAUGUCUUGGGCUUCACGCAUGCUACAAUGGCCGGUACAGAGGGCUGCGAUACCGUGAGGUGGAGCGAAUCCCUUAAAGCCGGUCUCAGUUCGGAUCGGUGUCUGCAACUCGACACCGUGAAGUUGGAGUCGCUAGU